CUGAGGAUGAGAGAACAUGACUUU
rnacentral:piRNA from 1 species